rnacentral:rRNA from 1 species
GAGAGCGAUCUGGAGCAAAUCCCAAAAAUAAACGUCCCAGUUCGGAUUGUAGUCUGCAACUCGACUACAUGAAGCUGGAAUCGCUAGUAAUCGCGAAUCAGCAUGUCGCGGUGAAUACGUUCCCGGGUCUUGUACACACCGCCCGUCACACCAUGAGAGUUAGGAAUACCCGAAGCCUGUGAGCCAACUUUAUAAGAGGCAGCAGUCGAAGGUAGAACUAAUGAUUGGGGUGAAGUCGUAACAAGGUAAC